rnacentral:rRNA from 1 species
UACGGAGGAUGCGAGCGUUAUCCGGAUUUAUUGGGUUUAAAGGGUGCGUAGGCGGGACUGCAAGUCAGAUGUGAAAACCACGGGCUCAACCUGUGGCCUGCAUUUGAAACUGUAGUUCUUGAGUACUGGAGAGGCAGACGGAAUUCCUAGUGUAGCGGUGAAAUGCGUAGAUAUUAGGAGGAACACCAGUGGCGAAGGCGGUCUGCUGGACAGCAACUGACGCUGAGGCGCGAAAGCGUGGGGAGCAAACAGG